AGGGGAGUCUGACCUUGUGAGGGAAUACCUGUGUCCCCCCUUUUUUCCCCUUUUUACCCAAUAAAACCCUGCCUUACUCACCCUUUAAAUCAUCUGCGAGCCUGAAUUUUCAUGGCCGUGGGACGGACAAGAACUUUAUCUUCAGCUGAACUAAGAAAAAGUCCUGCAACAUUUUUGGCGCGCAAUGUGGGGGCACCAGAAGCGGGCACCGUUGAGCUGUUGCAACUGUUCUGCUGGAGCCUUAUGUAUGUGGUUGAAACCACCUGUACUACUGGAAUGAAAGCACCUUUACAGAAGAGGCAAUGCAAGUUGUAUUCAUCACAUGUGUAGAAUGAAUUAAGAUUUAUGCCAGUUGCAAAGAAGAAUAUUGGCUCACUAUUUUUCCUCUGGGCAUCUAUUACUAACAAAGAAAAGACUGCUUCUGUAAUACAACAAUAAAUUUAUUGAACUAAAAGUUGAGACUGACAUCUGGGCACAUUGGGCUCCUCAUGCCUCUGAAUAAACAGACAAACAAAUGAGUUACUAUACCAGCAGAGGGGUACAAGCAAUUUUCCAGUCUUGACCCUUUAUCUGUUGACCAAGCUAAGGCAGAAACCAGCUAAAUUCUGGAUUUAAUCUUGAGCAGCAAAAAAGAUCAGCUUUUGAAGUGGAUCUGCUUUUAUUCUUGGCAAAAGUUCAGCGGAGACCAACCAGAGUGGUGACAAAGUUCUUCAACAUCAAGCCAAAUGUAAUACAAGGAAUUACGGAUAGUGCUUAAUCUAAAAUAAAGAAAUUCCACAUCUCCCUAAAAAGUUAUUGGCUUCAAGAAUGAAAACAAAAGAAGCAUAUUUGUCUCAAUCCAAACACAGACACCAGAAAGACAAACCAGGAGUAUACAGCAAAGUAGCUUGCAGGAUAAUACAUUGAAAAAUGUAAUUGUGCAUAAAUCAUGCACAAAGUAGAAACCACAAAUUCUGUAUUUGGCAAGGCUUCGGUUCCUUUGCAUAAUUCUUUCAUUUUCAUCUUGCUGCUUCCAUUCUCUUUUCAUCAAAAAAAGCUACAUAAAACAAAGACAUAAACUGUAUGCAAUUAAAAUGAGAAAAUAGCUGAAAGGAAUGUAUUGAUAAUUAUGUUAAAAUCUAUACCAUAAGUAUUCUUGCAUUGUUAAGCAUCUAAUUUUUCAUGUGUUGACAUCAGCAUCUCAGUUCUCUCUAACAUCUGAAAGCUUUUUUUUUUAAGGCAACUUCUUUUAGAGUGAACAAACUUAUGUACCACCGAGUUGACAAAAGUAUAACUAUAUCCUACAGAAAGAGACCUCAAGUAAACCUCCAGCAGCCAUCUGGACUUCCAUGAAAACAGAACAAUCAGUGAGAUGCAGAGCUUGGAGGAGACAGUUUCCAUAGACUGAAGCACGUGCUGAAGCAAAGUUCACACUUGCAGGAUUAGAAGAGGUUGACCGAAAGAAGGAAGGACAUGGACAGCUAUGUUGUUGUGGAGUCCUGUUUUAUAGUCAUAACCUUGAGUCAAGUGAGUUUGUCUGGACAGACAGAGCUUGUUGCCUUUACUUAUAGGGAAGGCACCGGACACAGACAGCCUCAAGGACAUUUGUUCUAGCCUUUCAGUAUCCUUUCUCUUAAUUAUCUCACCUCAUCCAUGAAGCUGGUAUGUACGAUUUUUCCUUUCUUUCUCAAUCCUUUAAAAAAUUAAAGCUCUAAAUCUCAUUUCCACUUAGAUUUUAAUGUUGCAUUGUAACUUAAGAUAAAACCUUGCUCUGAUGUUAAAAAUACUAAAGUAAGAAGCAAUAUGGCAUAGUGCUUAUGAGCAGGACUACAUAGUUCUUUCUGAAUACAAAUCUCAGAUAAAACACUAUCUCAGUGAUCAACCAGGUUAAGCAACCUUUUUAGUGCCUCAAUUAUUCCAUUUGUAAAAUUGUAAUAAUGAUAGUACUAACCUAUAAGAUUGUGGUGAGGAUUAAGUCAGAUAAUACAAAAGAAGCAUUUAGAGUAUUUCCUGGCAUUAUCUACCAUUUAUUGAAUUUUUAUGGUUAAGAAGAAUAAGGAAAAGCAGAAGAAAAGGAAAAGAGAAAAAAUACAUAAGAAGAAGGAAGAGUGGUAAGCUCUAGUAAAUUACAACAAACGGUAACGUAGAAAACAUUUGUUAGCCCUUAAUAUAGGCCAGGCACUGUGUUCAAUGCUUAAACCUCAUUACUGUUCUUUGAAGUGGAUAACAUUAUUCCUUCCAUUUUAAAGAAAGGAAUACUAAAGACAACUUUGUCAAUAUUAUUCAUGUAAUAAAUGACAGAAUUUGACCAAGACAAUAGAGAAUGAACUCUUAAUCACUAUAUUGUUUUAUUUUUUGAAAAUAGAUUUUAAGUUCUUAUUAAAUGUUAAUGACUCACAUCAAAAUAAAGCCAAUCAAAAUUGACAGCAA
ensembl:lncRNA MIR924HG MIR924 host gene